ACAUAAACUAUUUAAGGCACGAAUAUAAAUUGAAAACAAAUUUGGAAAAUUUCGUUACCUUAUUCUCCAAAAUAGAUUUGGACAAAUUUAAGGAUUUUACACAAGGUAAAUCAAGAGAAUAACAAAUCACGCUUCUUUUCGUAAUGACUUUAUCAACCACAAUCGAAGAGUAACAAUUAAUCGGAUCAAAAUGAGGGGAUCUUUUAAGAACUAAGUCACCAAAAGUUUUAUCAAUAAUUUUC
rnacentral:lncRNA from 1 species